rnacentral:lncRNA from 1 species
AUUAUCCUUUUGGUGAUGACUACUUUUAAGGCUCGUCUUAUCCAUCGUCCUUUUGGUGAUGACAAUCCUGACAAACAUAGUGAAUUACUAUCAUCCUUUUGGUGAUAGCAAGUCCUACUGUCAUCCUUUUGGUGCCAGAAAGCAUGUUCAUGUGUCUCACAUCAGAAACGACCUUUGAAAGAUCGAGUGUCGACUCGAGGGUUGGCAUUAAUUUGACAUUCUACCCCUAUUACCUUGGUGCUGUUAGAAUCCAUUGCAUUUUCUUUCUGCAUCCAUUCCAUUGCAU